CGAACGCUGGCGGCGUGCUUAACACAUGCAAGUCGAACGAUGAAGAAGAGAAACGCGAACUUCGGUUCAAAUUUCACUUCGGAUUAGUGGCAGACGGGUGAGUAACGCGUGAGCAACCUACCUCUUACAAAGGGAUAGCCUCGGGAAACCGUGAUUAAUACCAUAUGACACAUUCAUAAGGCAUCUUAAGAAUGUUAAAGCUACGGCGGUAAGAGAUGGGCUCGCGUCCCAUUAGCUAGUUGGUGAGGUAACGGCCCACCAAGGCGACGAUGGGUAACCGGCCUGAGAGGGUGAACGGUCACAUUGGAACUGAGACACGGUCCAAACUCCUACGGGAGGCAGCAGUGGGGAAUAUUGCACAAUGGAGGGAACUCUGAUGCAGCGACGCCGCGUGAGCGAUGAAGGAAUUCGUUUCGUAAAGCUCUGUUCUAUGGGAAGAAAAGGACUGUACCAUAGGAGAAAGCCCCGGCUAAAUACGUG
rnacentral:rRNA from 1 species